ACUGCUCGGUCAGCUUUUUAUCAGUCUCCAGCAUGUAGUCACCUCCGGGAGGUUGUUGCUUCGGGAACCUCUGUCUGAUGCCAACUACAGCCUGACUGAUAUUAUUAUAGAGCUGGACAUUCGGUUCCAUCCAUUGGAGGGAAUAGCAGGACACUGGGAAGGAAUGGACUUUUUGGAAGUGGAAGACAGUGAUGAAUCAGCUCUAGUCAUCAGGAAUGAUGGAUUUGAUGAAGUUGAGAGAGGGUCCAUAGUGGCUCUCAACGAUCAAAUGGAGAGAGAUGCUCGUCAUCUGGGUCGGAGCCUGUUCCGGAUGGGGGAUGAAGACGAGGAUGAUGAGGAUUAUGAUUAUGAAG